CAGAUUGUUACCCAGUUCAAGGAACAAGGUAUAAAUACAGAAUUGUACUAUAAAAACAAAGAAAUGGGAAAGGACACCUUCAGUAUUGUUCCAACUAGUGCUAUUAGUGGUGAAGGUAUUCCUGACAUGCUGUUGCUGCUUGUUCAAUGGACACAAAAGACAAUGAUUGAGAGACUUACUUACAGCAAUGAAGUUCAGUGUACCGUAUUGGAGGUAAAGGUUGUUGAAGGGC